rnacentral:rRNA from 1 species
CAUGCAGGUCGAACGGCAGCACAGCAGUAGCAAUACUGUGGGUGGCGAGUGGCGGACGGGUGAGGAAUACAUCGGAAUCUACCUUGUCGUGGGGGAUAACGUAGGGAAACUUACGCUAAUACCGCAUACGACCUUCGGGUGAAAGUGGGGGACCGCAAGGCCUCACGCGAUUAGAUGAGCCGAUGUCGGAUUAGCUAGUUGGCGGGGUAAUGGCCCACCAAGGCGACGAUCCGUAGCUGGUCUGAGAGGAUGAUCAGCCACACUGGAACUGAGACACGGUCCAGACUCCUACGGGAGGCAGCAGUGGGGAAUAUUGGACAAUGGGCGAAAGCCUGAUCCAGCCAUGCCGCGUGAGUGAUGAAGGCCUUAGGGUUGUAAAGCUCUUUCAGUGGGGACGAUAAUGACGGUACCCACAGAAGAAGCCCCGGCUAACUUCGUGCCAGCAGCCGCGGUAAUACGAAGGGGGCUAGCGUUGUUCGGAUUUACUGGGCGUAAAGCGCACGUAGGCGGAUCGUUAAGUGAGGGGUGAAAUCCCAGGGCUCAACCCUGGAACUGCCUUUCAUACUGGCGAUCUUGAGUCCGGAAGAGGUGAGUGGAACUCCUAGUGUAGAGGUGGAAUUCGUAGAUAUUAGAAGAACACCAGUGGCGAAGCGGCUCACUGGUCCGGUACUGACGCUGA